rnacentral:rRNA from 1 species
UUCCGGUUGAUCCUGCCGGACCUGACUGCUAUCGGAUUGAUACUAAGCCAUGCGAGUCUUUGCAGUAAUGCAAGGCAUACGGCUCAGUAACACGUAGUCAACUUACCCUAUGGACGAGGAUAAUCUCGGGAAACUGAGCAUAAUACUCGAUAGAUCAUAAUGCCUGGAAUGGUUUAUGGUUGAAAUGAUUCGUCGCCAUAGGAUGGGACUGCGGCCUAUCAGCUUGUUGGUGAGGUAAUGGCCCACCAAGGCGAUUACAGGUACGGGCUCUGAGAGGAGAAGCCCGGAGAUGGGUACUGAGACAAGGACCCAGGCCCUAUGGGGCGCAGCAGGCGAGAAAACUUUGCAAUGUGCGAAAGCACGACAAGGUUAAUCCGAGUGAUUUCUGCUAAAGAAAUCUUUUGCAAGUCAUAAAACCACUAGUGAAUAAGGGGUGGGCAAGUUCUGGUGUCAGCCGCCGCGGUAAAACCAGCACCUCAAGUGGUCAGGAGGAUUAUUGGGCCUAAAGCAUCCGUAGCCGGCUCUGUAAGUUUCCGGUUAAAUCCAUGUGCUCAACGCAUGGGCUGCCGAAAAUACUGCAUAGCUAGGGAGUGGGAGAGGUAGACGGUACUCAGUAGGAAGGGGUAAAAUCCUUUGAUCUAUUGAUGACCACCUGUGGCGAAGGCGGUCUACCAGAACACGUUCGACGGUGAGGGAUGAAAGCUGGGGGAGCAAACCGGAUUAGAUACCCGGGUAGUCCCAGCUGUAAACGAUGCAGACUCGAUGAUGCAUUGGCAUAUAGCCAGUGCAGUGUCGCAGGGAAGCCGUUAAGUCUGCCGCCUGGGAAGUACGUACGCAAGUAUGAAACUUAAAGGAAUUGGCGGGGGAGCACCACAAGGGGUGAAGCCUGCGGUUCAAUUGGAUUCAACGCCGGG